rnacentral:rRNA from 1 species
AGUCAAGUAAUUAAGUGCAUGUGGUGGAUGCCUUGGCAGUCAGAGGCGAUGAAAGACGUGAUAGCCUGCGAAAAGCUCCGGGGAGGCGGCAAAUAUCCUUUGAUCCGGAGAUGUCUGAAUGGGGGAACCCACCUACUUUAAGGUAGGUAUUGCAACAUGAAUACAUAGUGUUGCAAGGCGAACGAGGGGAAGUGAAACAUCUCAGUACCCUUAGGAAAAGAAAUCAAUUGAGAUUCCCUCAGUAGCGGCGAGCGAACGGGGAUCAGCCCAUUAAGUUAUGUGUGUUUUAGUGGAACGCUCUGGGAAGUGCGAACGUAGAGGGUGAUAUUCCCGUACACGAAAGGGCACACAUAAUGAUGACGAGUAGGGCGAGGCACGUGAAACCUUGUCUGAAUAUGGGGGGACCAUCCUCCAAGGCUAAAUACUCCUGACUGACCGAUAGUGAACCAGUACCGUGAGGGAAAGGCGAAAAGAACCCCUGUGAGGGGAGUGAAAUAGAUCCUGAAACCGCAUGCAUACAAGCAGUGGGAGCACCUUCGUGGUGUGACUGCGUACCUUUUGUAUAAUGGGUCAGCGACUUAUAUUCAGUAGCGAGGUUAACCGUAUAGGGGAGCCGUAGAGAAAUCGAGUCUUAAUAGGGCGUUUAGUUGCUGGGUAUAGACCCGAAACCAGGCGAUCUAUCCAUGAGCAGGUUGAAGGUUGGGUAACACUAACUGGAGGACCGAACCCACUGUCGUUGAAAAGCCAGGGGAUGACUUGUGGAUAGGGGUGAAAGGCUAAUCAAGCCUGGUGAUAGCUGGUUCUCCCCGAAAGCUAUUUAGGUAGCGCCUCGGACGAAUACCAUAGGGGGUAGAGCACUGUUUCGGCUAGGGGGUCAUCCCGACUUACCAAACCGAUGCAAACUCCGAAUACCUAUGAGUACUAUCCGGGAGACAGACUGCGGGUGCUAACGUCCGUAGUCAAGAGGAAAACAAUCCAGACCGCCAGCUAAGGCCCCAAAAUCAUAGUUAAGUGGGAAACGAUGUGGGAAGGCAUAGACAGCUAGGAGGUUGGCUUAGAAGCAGCCACCCUUUAAAGAAAGCGUAAUAGCUCACUAGUCGAGUCGGCCUGCGCGGAAGAUGUAACGGGGCUAAAACUAUGUGCCGAAGCUGCGGAUGUAUACAUUGUAACGUGGUAGGGGAGCGUUCUGUAAGCCGAUGAAGGUGUGUUGAGAAGCAUGCUGGAGGUAUCAGAAGUGCGAAUGCUGACGUGAGUAACGACAAAACGGGUGAAAAACCCGUUCGCCGAAAGACCAAGGGUUCCAGUCCAACGUUAAUCGGGGCUGGGUGAGUCGACCCCUAAGGCGAGGCCGAAAGGCGUAGUCGAUGGGAAAAUGGUUAAUAUUCCAUUACUUCUGUGUAAUGCGAUGAGAGGACGGAGAAGGCUAAAUCAGCCUGGCGUUGGUUGUCCAGGUGAAAGGAUGUAGGCAUGUAUCUUAGGCAAAUCCGGGGUACUCUAUGCUGAGAUCUGAUAGCAAGCUGUACUUGUACAGCGAAGUGGUUGAUGCCAUGCUUCCAGGAAAAGUCUCUAAGCUUCAGUUACACAGGAAUCGUACCCGAAACCGACACAGGUGGUCAGGUCGAGUAGACCAAGGCGCUUGAGAGAACUCUGCUGAAGGAACUAGGCAAAAUGGUACCGUAACUUCGGGAGAAGGUACGCUGUUGUUGGUGAUGGAACUCGCUUCCUGAGCUGACGACAGCCGCAGAAACCAGGCCGCUGCAACUGUUUAUUAAAAACAUAGCACUCUGCAAACACGAAAGUGGACGUAUAGGGUGUGAUGCCUGCCCGGUGCUGGAAGGUUAAUUGAUGGGGUUAGCGUAAGCGAAGCUCUUGAUCGAAGCCCCAGUAAACGGCGGCCGUAACUAUAACGGUCCUAAGGUAGCGAAAUUCCUUGUCGGGUAAGUUCCGACCUGCACGAAUGGCAUAAUGAUGGCGGCGCUGUCUCCAGCAGAGGCUCAGUGAAAUCGAAAUCGCUGUGAAGAUGCAGUGUACCCGCGGCUAGACGGAAAGACCCCGUGAACCUUUACUGCAGCUUGACACUGAACUUUGACCUUACUUGUGUAGGAUAGGUGGGAGGCUUUGAAGCUGGAACGCUAGUUCCAGUGGAGCCGUCCUUGAAAUACCACCCUGGUAAUGUUGAGGUUCUAACUCUGUCCCGUGAUCCGGGACGAGGACCGUGUCUGGUGGGUAGUUUGACUGGGGCGGUCUCCUCCUAAAGAGUAACGGAGGAGUACGAAGGUGCGCUCAGCGUGGUCGGAAAUCACGCGUAGAGUAUAAAGGCAAAAGCGCGCUUAACUGCGAGACCCACAAGUCGAGCAGGUACGAAAGUAGGUCUUAGUGAUCCGGUGGUUCUGUAUGGAAGGGCCAUCGCUCAACGGAUAAAAGGUACUCUGGGGAUAACAGGCUGAUACCGCCCAAGAGUUCAUAUCGACGGCGGUGUUUGGCACCUCGAUGUCGGCUCAUCUCAUCCUGGGGCUGAAGCAGGUCCCAAGGGUAUGGCUGUUCGCCAUUUAAAGAGGUACGCGAGCUGGGUUUAGAACGUCGUGAGACAGUUCGGUCCCUAUCUACCGUGGGCGCUGGAAAUUUGAGAGGAUCUGCUCCUAGUACGAGAGGACCAGAGUGGACGAACCUCUGGUGUACCGGUUGUGACGCCAGUCGCAUCGCCGGGUAGCUAUGUUCGGAAGGGAUAACCGCUGAAAGCAUCUAAGCGGGAAGCCUACCUCAAGAUAAGAUUUCCCUAGGACUUUAUGUCCUCUAAAGAGCCGUUCGAGACUAGGACGUUGAUAGGUUGGAUGUGGAAGCAUAGUGAUAUGUGAAGCUGACCAAUACUAAUUGCUCGUGAGGCUUGACUAU